CGGGAAACUGGGGAUAAUACUCCAUAGAUCUAGAAUGCUGGAAUGCUUCUAGGUCGAAAACUCCGGUGCCUUAGGAUUGUUCUGCGGCGUAUCAGGUCGUAGUGGGUGUAACGGACCCACUAGCCGAUGACGCGUAUGGGCCUUGCGAGAGGAAGCCCAGAGAUGGCCUCUGAUACAUGAGUCCAGGCCCUACGGGGCGCAGCAGUCGCGAAAACUUCCCAAUGGGGGCAACCCCGAUGAGGGAAUUCCAAGUGCUAGCACUUUUUGUGGUAGCUGUUCGAUUGUCUAAAAAACAAGAGAAGUAAGGGCCGGGUAAGACGGGUGCCAGCCGCCGCGGUAACA
rnacentral:rRNA from 1 species